AGACGACGAUCGAUUCUUUGCUGUCGAGGAGGCUCUUCUUUUCAGCCAUAUUUUUUCUGGAGCAUGGGAAAUGUAUGUAGUUCAUAUGACGAACCGCUGACCAAAAUGGCGCACACACAAAACGGAUUCGGAUCGAUUCGACCCCGUUCCGUAUCGUGAAAGACCGGAAAAAAACCCUAGCCGCCGAUCCGUAUAAAGGUUCCCAAGAUGGUGAGGAGCUUUCGUUUGCCACGGGAAGGCGUUGAAGAAGGCGAAGUCUGCUGCAAUGGUGUCUGGGUCGGGGUUGUGCGCGCGACGGGUGGUGGUGGACGCGCGUCACCACAUGCUAGGACGGCUGGCGUCAAUCGUCGCCAAGGAGCUCCUCAACGGGCAGCGGGUCGUGGUCGUCCGCUGCGAGGAGAUCUGCCUCUCCGGGGGCCUCGUCCGCCAGAAGAUGAAGUACCUCCGCUUCCUCCGCAAGCGCAUGAACACCAAGCCAUCGCACGGCCCCAUCCACUUCCGCGCCCCCGCUAAGAUCCUCUGGCGCACCAUCCGAGGGAUGAUUCCUCACAAAACGAAGCGUGGGGCUGCGGCGCUAGCAAGGCUCAAGGCGUAUGAGGGUGUGCCGCCACCUUACGAUAAAACAAAGAGGAUGGUUAUUCCGGAUGCCCUCAAGGUAUUGAGGCUUCAGCCUGGGCAUAGAUAUUGUUUGCUAGGUCGACUGUCAUCGGAGGUUGGAUGGAAUUACUAUGAUACGGUUAAGGUGCUCGAGGCGAAGAGGAAAGAGAGGGCCAAGGUGGCUUAUGAGAGGAGAAAGCAGCUCACAAAGCUUAGGUUGAAGGCAGAGAAGACUGCCGAGGAGAAGCUCGGCCCGCAGCUUGACAUCCUUGCGCCACUGAAGUACUGAGUUGAUUACAUCCCUUUUUCCAUAAACAUCAGCAGCCUUUCUGUCAUUUUUAUUUGGUCAGACUAAAGCUUAUCCUGGUUUGGUUGUGUAAUCUGCAACAUCAGGUCUAAUGCUUUGCAGGAACACGGUUAAAAUCCAUCGUAGUAUGUUCUGCUGUGCUUAAUGUUCAUCU